rnacentral:rRNA from 1 species
GGUUUCCGUAGGUGAACCUGCGGAAGGAUCAUUGUUGAGCCCCGAACGGAUGACUGAGAACAUGUUAACGCACCCGACGGGAGCGGGGAUGGGUGGCAUUGUCAUCCACCUCCCGCCUCCUCGGGGCACCCUGGCGGCCCCAGCCUUGCCUUGCUGCGGGGCGGGGGCCGUGAACAACACCCCGGCGCGGUGGGCGCCAAGGAAUAGUGCCUGUGGAGAGCAGCGUGCUUCUGACCGUCGAGGCGGGAAAAGGCACGCGACGCGAUCCUGCAAAUAUCUUUAACUUUACGACUCUCGGCAACGGAUAUCUUGGCUCUCGCAUCGAUGAAGAACGUAGCGAAAUGCGAUACUUGGUGUGAAUUGCAGAAUCCCGUGAACCAUCGAGUCUUUGAACGCAAGUUGCGCCCGAGGCUAUCCGGCCGAGGGCACGCCUGCCUGGGCGUCACGCCUAACGUCGCUCCGCCCACCCUGCCCCCACACAGUGCGGGCAGAUGUGGGCAUGGACGCGGAUAUUGGCCCACCGUGCCUUGCGGUGCGGCGGGUUGAAGUGCGGGCCGCCGACCGGGUCGGACGCGGCGAGUGGUGGACGGACACGCUCGACGCUGAACGUCGCGAACCUAGCCCCCGGUCGUAACAGCUCAUGCAAGGAAGAACCCAUGCCGACUGGGCGCUCGCGAGCGCCCUCGGACCACGACCCCAGGUCAGGCGGGGCCACCCGCUGAGUUUAAGCAUAUCAAUAA